rnacentral:lncRNA from 1 species
AAAAAUCAAAAGGCCUUUUUUGGCCACUGAGAGCCGUUCUCUAGUUCAUACUGUGGCCAUACAGUAUUACGGAAUGUUAGAUAUUUAGGUUUCAGAUCAGGGCAUAGACAGGGUUUUCAGAUUAUUAAGUGUUGUAAAUGAGUUGGCCCUCUGGGCCCUUUGCAUCAAAAGCUGUAAAGCGCUAGAGGGCAACAGUCAGACGGGACUUGAACUGAGCCUGAUUUUCAUCUUUGCCUUGAGUUGUCUCCUUUAGUUUAUCAUAAUUGUCCUCUGUGCUGUCUGUUGUAGUCCCUCGACUAAGUGGUCAUAUAAUUUGCAUUGUUUUUAGGUGGAGAUUGUCCCUGUGUGUUUGUCUACUGGAUUGAAAUUUUAAUUUGGGUUAGCCUGGGUAACAGCCGCAAUACCCUACUGGAGGUGGCUGGAGAUGCAUGGAGACGCCUGCUUAAGCCUGAGCCAAGGACCAGACAUGUUCCCCGGUCCCCAGGUUCUUCAUCUCCUGAACAAAGAACUGAACAAGAUGCACCGUAAAAGUGGUGAGGAUGCACAUUUAUUGAAGAUGAAAAAGUUCUACAGGGUGAGUGUGAACCUGUGAAAAGGCUCACAGUGGCUAUGGG